UACAGAGGUGGCAAGCGUUGUUCGGAAUUACUGGGCGUAAAGGGCGCGUAGGCGGCCUACUAAGUCAGACGUGAAAUCCCCCGGCUUAACCUGGGAACUGCGUCUGAUACUGGAAGGCUUGAGGAUGGGAGAGGGAUGUAGAAUUCCAGGUGUAGCGGUGAAAUGCGUAGAUAUCUGGAGGAACACCUGAGGCGAAGGCGGGCUACUGGGCCGAUACUGACGCUGAGGCGCGAAAGCCAGGGGAGCAAACGGG
rnacentral:rRNA from 1 species